UACGGAAGGUCCUGGCGUUAUCCGGAUUUAUUGGGUUUAAAGGGAGCGCAGGCGGGCCUUUAAGCGUGACGUGAAAUGCCGCGGCUCAACCGUGGAAGUGCGUCGCGAACUGGUGGCCUUGAGUGAGGACGACGCAGGCGGAAUUCGUGGUGUAGCGGUGAAAUGCUUAGAUAUCACGAAGAACCCCGAUUGCGCAGGCAGCCUGCGAGGCCUCAACUGACGCUAAUGCUCGAAGGUGCGGGUAU
rnacentral:rRNA from 1 species